CCUACGGGUGGCUGCAGUGGGGAAUAUUGGACAAUGGGCGAAAGCCUGAUCCAGCCAUGCCGCGUGUGUGAAGAAGGCCUUCGGGUUGUAAAGCACUUUCAGUGGGGAAGAAAGCCUUGGGGCUAAUACCCUCGAGGAAGGACAUCACCCACAGAAGAAGCACCGGCUAACUCCGUGCCAGCAGCCGCGGUAAUACGAAGGGUGCGAGCGUUAAUCGGAAUUACUGGGCGUAAAGCGCGCGUAGGCGGUCUGAUAAGCCGGUUGUGAAAGCCCCGGGCUCAACCUGGGAACGGCAUCCGGAACUGUCAGGCUAGAGUGCAGGAGAAGAAGGUAGAAUUCCCGGUGUAGCGGUGAAAUGCGUAGAGAUCGGGAGGAAUACCAGUGGCGAAGGCGGCCUUCUGGACUGACACUGACGCUGAGGUGCGAAAGCGUGGGUAGCAAACAGGAUUAGAUACCCCUGUAGUC
rnacentral:rRNA from 1 species